rnacentral:rRNA from 1 species
GAUGAACGCUGGCGGCGUGCCUAAUACAUGCAAGUCGAGCGAACAGAUGAGGAGCUUGCUCCUCUGACGUUAGCGGCGGACGGGUGAGUAACACGUGGAUAACCUACCUAUAAGACUGGGAUAACUUCGGGAAACCGGAGCUAAUACCGGAUAAUAUAUUGAACCGCAUGGUUCAAUAGUGAAAGACGGUUUUGCUGUCACUUAUAGAUGGAUCCGCGCCGCAUUAGCUAGUUGGUAAGGUAACGGCUUACCAAGGCAACGAUGCGUAGCCGACCUGAGAGAGUGAUCGGCCACACGGGAACUGAAACACGGUCCAGACUCCUACGGGAGGCAGCAGUAGGGAAUCUUCCGCAAUGGGCGAAAGCCUGACGGAGCAACGCCGCGUGAGUGAUGAAGGUCUUCGGAUCGUAAAACUCUGUUAUUAGGGAAGAACAAAUGUGUAAGUAACUAUGCACGUCUUGACGGUACCUAAUCAGAAAGCCACGGCUAACUACGUG